AAUAAACUGGGGGGGACUGGGGGGGGUAGCUUGCAGCACCUUGGCUGGUGGGGACAGGGCACAGAAAUGACAAGAAAGCUGCAAAAUGAUCGUCACAGCAGCGCUUUGCAGGCGCACAGUAACCAGUGUUGACAUUCAAAAAAAAAAAAGUAGAUCCCUUUUAUUUUUAUUCGUAUUGCACAAUAAACGGGUUCAAGUGAAUAGCUGUUAAUGAAACCUUUUGGAUGCAUUUACAGCAGCUGUAAUUGCACAGCUAACCGCCAGCACUCUGAGAUCUUUUCUUGUUCGAUUUAGGGUUAGCAAUUCGUGUGUUUUGUCCUUUUUCAGACAAAAAAAAACCAAAAAAAACAGUUUGGGAUUGAGCAGCUUCGAGAACGUAGCUGGGAUCGUUUUUUUCUGACAGCUCUUCCUCAGAUUGCAUGGGCCUGUCCCGUGGCUCUGUUUUUGGGUGGUCCCUGCUACACCCGUUUGCGAGUGAAGUUCUGGGAUAAGGAACUAGGACUCCUCUCCUGUGCACAACGCAGGCGUUAUCAGCCCCGACCACAGGCAAUAGAUCAAAGUCAGAAACGAGUUCGUUCAAAAACAAGGGCUGUCAAAGGAACGGGCUUCGCUGAGAUAGUCAGAGUUCAGCCUGCAGGGCGAUUUCGAUAGAGUUAUCUCAUUCGUUAUAGGUGUCUAGCGUACCAACCAGUUCCUGCUAUUGUACACGGUGAUCCCUGUUUGUUUAUCUGACUUGCACAUAGGGAGAGCAAUGCUGAAAACGCGAGUGUGUUAAUGCAGAGCCCUUACGGUCGUCCGGUCAGUUGGAAUUCCAAUUAAAUAAAGGAAAUCAACAACGACCCCCAUUGAAAUGUUUACUUCACUUCAAAUGCAUUUGGAAUUAAACAUCACUGUCUUAUCUUGUUGCCGCUCCUCUCCCCUCCCCAGGUAAUAAACCCAGCAAUAUUCUGAGGAGAGGUAAAACCAAGCCUCAGUUGAGUUUUUCACCGGGGACGUGUUUGGGUACCACGGCUUCGUGUUCUCUGUCCUGGACGUGGCUCAUGUAAUAACAGACAGUCCAUCACUGCAGGGGUGGGAACAAGACUCCUGCUGCACAACAGUGUUGCUCAUUUCAGGUUUUACUACCAGCUUGAUCAUAGUGAAACCAGUAAUGGAUCAAACCGCUAUGCAACGGGAGUCUUAUUUCCUAUCAAGGUUGUGCAUGCUAGAAUUUACACAGGGUCCACUUUUUGCAUUUGACUUUAGGUGUGCUGUUUACCAGUAUAGACCAUUUCAUAUCAUUGAACCCUGAAAUGGUUUAGCGUUUGGUUUUCAGAGAGAAGCCCAAAGUGGUGAAACCAGAGAGGAGCGACAAGCCUGAGGCCAAGAAACCCAAGCUGGAACCAAAAGAGACGACCCUGAAGACGGCCAGUUUCUGGAAGGUGAUUGGUUGAGCGAGAAAGCAAAGUCCUCCCUCAAACUCACGCCUCCAGACUACCUCCUCCUGCAAGUGCUCCUGAAAUUCCACACGGACAAGGGCAGAGAUGCUGUCCCGGAGACUGUGGGGGAGGACUCUGAGCUGCAGGGAGCGAGUGUG